GGGAAUAUAGCGUAGUUGGUUAGCGUGUUGGCCUGUCACGCCAAAGGUCACGGGUUCAAGUCCCGUUAUUCUCG
rnacentral:tRNA from 1 species